rnacentral:rRNA from 1 species
GGCGUAAAGCGAGCGCAGACGGUUGAUUAAGUCUGAUGUGAAAGCCCGGAGCUCAACUCCCGGAAUGGCAUUGGAAACUGGUUAACUUGAGUGCAGUAGAGGUAAGUGGAACUCCAUGUGUAGCGGUGGAAUGCGUAGAUAUAUGGAAGAACACCAGUGGCGAAGGCGGCUUACUGGACUGUAACUGACGUUGAGGCUCGAAAGUGUGGGUAGCAAACAGGAUUAGAUACCCUGGUAGUCCACACCGUAAACGAUGAACACUAGGUGUUAGGAGGUUUCCGCCUCUUAGUGCCGAAGCUAACGCAUUAAGUGUUCCGCCUGGGGAGUACGACCGCAAGGUUGAAACUCAAAGGAAUUGACGGGGACCCGCACAAGCGGUGGAGCAUGUGGUUUAAUUCGAAGCAACGCGAAGAACCUUACCAGGUCUUGACAUCCUUUGAAGCUUUUAGAGAUAGAAGUGUUCUCUUCGGAGACAAAGUGACAGGUGGUGCAUGGUCGUCGUCAGCUCGUGUCGUGAGAUGUUGGGUUAAGUCCCGCAACGAGCGCAACCCUUAUUGUUAGUUGCCAGCAUUCAGAUGGGCACUCUAGCGAGACUGCCGGUGACAAACCGGAGGAAGGCGGGGACGACGUCAGAUCAUCAUGCCCCUUAUGACCUGGGCUACACACGUGCUACAAUGGCGUAUACAACGAGUUGCCAACCCGCGAGGGUGAGCUAAUCUCUUAAAGUACGUCUCAGUUCGGAUUGUAGUCUGCAACUCGACUACAUGAAGUCGGAAUCGCUAGUAAUCGCGGAUCAGCACGCCGCGGUGAAUACGUUCCCGGGUCUUGUACACACCGCCCGUCACACCAUGGGAGUUUGUAAUGCCCAAAGCCGGUG